UACAAUAGUUAAAUAUUAAAGUUUUUUGAAUAAUAAAAUUCGUCGAUCUCGACUUAAGUUUUGUAUAAUAACAAUUUUUUAAAAUAUAAUUGCCGGUUCUCUAUUUGUCAUGUUGACCGACGUUCAAACGUAGCAUUGUUAAUAAAUAUUGAUAACAGUACAUUAGUUAUUUUACUAAUUUUUUAUAGUCUCGGGUGUCUUCACAUAUACAUUAUUGAUUUUGUUGUUUUGUGAUUUUAAACUUAAGUAAGAAACAAUGAAGAAAGGACGUUUAGUUUUUGCGAUGGAGUGUUUGCAUAAGAUUAUGAAUGCUAAUCAGAAUAGAAGUUUCGUGUUCAGUCCGGCUUGCCUAUAUGAUGCACUUUUUCUGACAUUUUUCCUGAUUAAAGGUGAAAUUUCGGAGCGCCUAAAAAUGAUUCUUUGUUCAGGACCAGAAUACGAGGAUAUCAUCAGCAAAACAGAUUUUAUUAACUAUUAUUUUUAUAGAACAGACAGAAGGCUAAGAUGGAAACCCUAUUCCGAGAAUUGCAAUUAUGACGUUAGAUGUUGGAUGGACCUUAACAAAAAAAAAUGUCCAUCUAAACUCGACCGGUAGAAGGAUUAAUUAAUGAGCGCAUAACAUUACCUGAUGACGAACAAGAUAUUAUUUUGAUGACCUCUAUCAGUAACAAAUUCAAUUUUGCCGCCAUACGGGCAAAUCAAAUUAUUAGCUGCAAGUAUUACAUGUAUUUUUAUUUUAUUUAACAUAUAUAAUCUAU